rnacentral:tRNA from 1 species
GGAGGUUUAGCUCAGUCGGUUAGAGCGCCUGCCUCACAUGCAGGAGGUCGCUGGUUCGAGUCCAGUAAUCUCCACCA